ensembl:miRNA mdo-mir-12366a mdo-mir-12366a
UUCCAGCUCUGACAUUCUAUGAUCUACAUUCAUAGGAUCAAAGGAUUCAGAACUGGAUG